rnacentral:ncRNA from 1 species
AUUCUGGUACGGUCGUACCAGAAAACGGGUACGGGACGGCGGGCACUGCCACCCGGCGUGCCCGU